AUUGAACGCUGGCGGCAUGCCUUACACAUGCAAGUCGAACGGCAGCACGGGUGCUUGCACCUGGUGGCGAGUGGCGAACGGGUGAGUAAUACAUCGGAACAUGUCCUGUAGUGGGGGAUAGCCCGGCGAAAGCCGGAUUAAUACCGCAUACGAUCUACGGAUGAAAGCGGGGGACCUUCGGGCCUCGCGCUAUAGGGUUGGCCGAUGGCUGAUUAGCUAGUUGGUGGGGUAAAGGCCUACCAAGGCGACGAUCAGUAGCUGGUCUGAGAGGACGACCAGCCAAACUGGGACUGAGACACGGCCCAGACUCCUACGGGAGGCAGCAGUGGGGAAUUUUGGACAAUGGGCGAAAGCCUGAUCCAGCAAUGCCGCGUGUGUGAAGAAGGCCUUCGGGUUGUAAAGCACUUUUGUCCGGAAAGAAAUCCUUGGCUCUAAUACAGUCGGGGGAUGACGGUACCGGAAGAAUAAGCACCGGCUAACUACGUG
rnacentral:rRNA from 1 species